UUUUUAAAUCUGACAUAUAUAUUAGUGGGACAAAAUAGAGAACCAUAAAUAAACCCACACUUUUAUAGUCAAUUAGUAUUUGACAAAGGAGGCAAGAACAUACAAUGAGGUAAAGAGUGUCUAGUCAA